UCAAAGAUUAAGCCAUGCAUGUCUCAGUACAAGCCAAAUUAAGGUGAAACCGCGAAAGGCUCAUUAAAUCAGUUAUGGUCCUUAGAUCGUACACAUUUACUUGGAUAACUGUGGUAAUUCUAGAGCUAAUACAUGCAAACAGAGCUCCGACCGGAGACGGAAGGUAGCGCUUUUAUUAGAUCAAAACCCAUCGGUGGCGGUCUCUGUCAUCGUACAACUUGGUGAGACUGAAUAACUUUUAGCUGAUCGCAUGGUCUUGCACCGGCGACGCAUCUUUCAAAUGUCUGCCUUAUCAACUGUCGAUGGUAGGUUCUGCGCCUACCAUGGUUGUAACGGGUAACGGGGAAUCAGGGUUCGAUUCCGGAGAGGGAGCCUGNAGAAACGGCUACCACAUCCAAGGAAGGCAGCAGGCGCGCAAAUUACCCACUCCCGGCACGGGGAGGUAGUGACGAAAAAUAACGAUACGGGACUCAUCCGAGGCCCCGUAAUCGGAAUGAGUACACUCUAAACCCUUUAACGAGGAUCAAUUGGAGGGCCAGUCUGGUGCCAGCAGCCGCGGUAAUUCCAGCUCCAAUAGCGUAUAUUAAAGUUGUUGCGGUUAAAAAGCUCGUAGUCGAAUUUGUGUCCAGCGCCGUCGGUUCAUCGUUCGCGGUGCUAACUGACGUGUCGCCGGACGUCCUGCCGGUGGGCUUAGCCCGCGAGGGCGGCCCAACUCAAUCCCGCCGCGGUGCUCUUCAUUGAGUGUCGAGGUGGGCCGGCACGUUUACUUUGAACAAAUUAGAGUGCUUAAAGCAGGCUAAAAUUUCGCCUGAAUACUAGUGCAUGGAAUAAUGGAAUAGGACCUCGGUUCUAUUUUGUUGGUUUUCUGAACCCCGAGGUAAUGAUUAAUAGGAACGGAUGGGGGCAUUCGUAUUGCGACG
rnacentral:rRNA from 1 species